UUGAAACCAGGAUUAGAUACCCUGUUAUAUUAAGAUAAAACAAGAUUUCGCUUGAGUAGUAAUCAGUUAUGAUCUCGAAACUUAAAGGAUUUGGCGGUAUUUAAGUCUAGUUAGAGGAACCUGCUCUUUAAACGAUAUGCCACGAAAUAUCUUACUUUGUCUUGUAUUCAGCUUGUAUACCUCCAUUAUAAGUAAUGUUUUUAAAUAUUUUCUAUAAUAAAAGUUUUUUAGUAUAUUAGGUCAAGGUGCAGCUAAUGAUAAAGUAGCUGUGGGUUACAUUGUAUUUCAUAUCUGAACGAAUUUGUGAAACUAAAUUCUGAAAUUGGAUUUAAUUGUAUUCUUGAAAUAAUAAGUCAAGAUGAUAAUAGCUCUAAAAUAUGUACAUAUCCGCCCGUCGCUAA
rnacentral:rRNA from 1 species